GAACGCACCUUGCGCCUCUUGGUAUUCCGAGAGGCAUGCCUGUUUGAGUGUCUUAUAAAAUCAAUCCCCACGGGUUUCUUGACCUGGCGGUGGACUUGGACUUGGGCGCCUGCCGUUCGCACGGCUCGCCUUAAAGACGUUAGUGGGACAAGUUGCCUACGGCUUGACGUAAUAAGUUUCGUCAGACCCGGUGUCUUAUGCCCGCUCAUAACCCUCCUGGCUCACGCCGGAACCCCUUUAUGCUAGACCUCAAAUCAGGUAGGACUACCCGCUGAACUUAAG
rnacentral:misc_RNA from 1 species